AAUGAACGCUGGCGGCAUGCCUUACACAUGCAAGUCGAACGGCAGCAUGACCUAGCUUGCUAGGUUGAUGGCGAGUGGCGAACGGGUGAGUAAUGCAUCGGAACGUGCCUUUUAGUGGGGGAUAACGUAGCGAAAGUUACGCUAAUACCGCAUAUUCUCUGAGGAGGAAAGCAGGGGACCUUCGGGCCUUGCGCUAGAAGAGCGGCCGAUGUCGGAUUAGCUAGUUGGUGAGGUAAAGGCUCACCAAGGCAACGAUCCGUAGCGGGUCUGAGAGGAUGAUCCGCCACACUGGGACUGAGACAAGGCCCAGACUCCUACGGGAGGCAGCAGUGGGGAAUUUUGGACAAUGGGCGCAAGCCUGAUCCAGCCAUGCCGCGUGAGUGAAGAAGGCCUUCGGGUUGUAAAGCUCUUUCGGCUGGGAAGAAAUCGCACCCUCUAAUACAGGGUGUGGAUGACGGUACCAGCAGAAGAAGCACCGGCUAACUACGUG
rnacentral:rRNA from 1 species